rnacentral:rRNA from 1 species
AUACGGAGGACGCGAGCGUUAUCCGGAUUCAUUAGGUUUAAAGGGUGCGCAGGCGGCCGUGCAAGUCAGCGGUGAAAGCCCGGGGCUCAACCCCGGAAGUGCCGUUGAUACUGCAUGGCUGGAAUGCGGUCGAGGCGGGCGGAACGUGGCGGGUAGCGGUGAAAUGCGUAGAUGUGGCACAGAACGCCGAUAGCGGAGGCAGCUCGUCGGGCCUGCAUUGACACUCGGGCACGAAAGCGUGGGGAUCGAACAGGAUUAGAUACCCUGGUAGCCCACGCCGUAAACGAUGGGCGCUCGUCGUCGGCGGCAGACAGUCGGCGGCCAAGCGAAAGCGAUAAGCGCCCCACCUGGGGAGUACGGUCGCAAGGCUGAAACUCAAAUUAAUUGACGGGG